UACACACGGACUAAGAUAGACUAUAUUAUAGUCUGUAACAUUACAUUACUAUAUUAGGUUGUUCAUUGCUAUUAAAAUACAAAAUUAAAGUUGUAACAUUUUCUUUUACUUUAACUCAAAAACCAAAAUUCAAAUACAUACUUUCAAAUAUUUUAGUAAAGAAACAUUAUCAUUGGCCCACUACAUUUUGGCGCAGUCAUUUUCGGAAUUCUUUCUACAGAAUUACCCGUGUUGAAAAUUUUUCAAAAUUAUUCAAGGGAUUCAAGGCGGAAAUUCAUCACUGAAUCGCGGAUUGAAGAAGACAACUGCAGAAUGUGAACUCCGUCGACUACAAGGAAGAUUCGUAACGCAUAGUGAACAACCCGCAACAAUUCAACAACAAUAAAUUACAAUGGAAGCAACAACUUAUCAAGCCGUCGUAGUGGUCCGGCAAAAAACCUCUGUGAUUACGUUCUUUGGGGAUAUUUAAAGGCACAGUGUACGAUCAUCGCCCUGCAUCCCUACAAGCACUGAAGGAACCAAUCACCAGGCAUUGGCCUCCAACUAGCAAAGACACGAAGAGUUAUGGAAAACUAUCGGGAAAGGCUUCAUGAAUGUGUGCACACCACUGAACACCACUUAACCAAUGUAAUGUUUAAAAGAAAAAAUCCGUGAUUGGAUAAAUAAUUAA